GGGGAUUUGGCUCAGUGGUAGAGCGCUUGCCUAGCAAGCACAAGGCCCUGGGUUCAGUCCCCA
rfam:Rattus norvegicus chromosome 9, whole genome shotgun sequence.